GCAGUAGCCACGGUAAUACGAAGGGGGCUAGCGUUGCUCGGAAUUACUGGGCGUAAAGGGAGCGUAGGCGGAUCGUUAAGUUGGGGGUGAAAGCCCGGGGCUCAACCUCGGAAUUGCCUUCAAUACUGGCGAUCUUGAGUAUGGAAGAGGUAUGUGGAACUCCGAGUGUAGAGGUGAAAUUCGUAGAUAUUCGGAAGAACACCAGUGGCGAAGGCGACACACUGGCCCGUAACUGACGCUGAGGCGCGAAAGCGUGGGGAGCAAACAGGAUUAGAUACCCCUGUAGUCCCUGUCUCUUAUAC
rnacentral:rRNA from 1 species